UUCCUGCAAGGGACGGCCAGGUGUGGGCAGUGCUGGCCGCUGUCUCCUCACUGCAUUGUUACCCCAAUGUUAGCACCGGCCACACUCUGCCCAGCGCUCACUUGCACUGCCUGUGCUUCACAAACACCUGAGGCCAGUGCGGGCAGGGUGUAAACACCCACUUAGCCAACAGAAGAGAUGCCGGGCCACUUGGUGAAUCACGGCCACUUUAAAUGUGUAGGUGUCCGCACCCGAGGCUUCAGGGCCAAGGGAAUAAUACUCUGGAUUCUCCAGAAUUCUCUGCAUGCCGUUUCCAACACUCGGCUCCAGGAGCAAGGAAAUCCGUGUGACUUCAGGAUUCGGUGGCAAACUCAACCUGCUUUCUCACACUAUCAGUGCCUGAAGUUCCACUUCAAGCUUUUCUUUCACUUCUGUGACCAAACAGGGGCAAUGCCUUUUGACAUCUUAGAGUGGGAUCCCCUGAAUUCUAGCUGUUUCAAGGGAGCUAAAUGACAGCAUACAGCCAGUAAAAAGGAUCCAGUUCCUCCCCAACUGCACCAGGAGGUCCUGACAGCCUCGGGCAGAGGGACGAGAGGCCACCUGAGGCCACCGCCCUCCACACCUCUGCAACACGGCCAUGGCUUCUGACCCAUUCCUGAUGUUUGCAAGUUAAAUUACACAGCGAGCUCCACAGGCUGCUUCAACCCAGGGCAUCACGACCUGCGCCUAAAGGGAGUGGGGUCCAG
ensembl:lncRNA